rnacentral:tRNA from 1 species
UGGGGUAUAGCUUAGUAGUAGAGCACUUGCCUAGCAUGUGUGAAGCCCUAUGUUCAUUCACAGUACACCAA